GAAAUGCGAUAAGUAAUGUGAAUUGCAGAAUUCAGUGAAUCAUCGAAUCUUUGAACGCACAUUGCGCCCGCCAGUAUUCUGGCGGGCAUGCCUGUUCGAGCGUCAUUUCAACCAUCAAGCCCCGGGCUUGUGUUGGGGACCUGCGGCUGCCGCAGGCCCUGAAAAGCAGUGGCGGGCUCGCUGUCACACCGAGCGUAGUAGCAUACAUCUCGCUCUGGGCGUGCUGCGGGUUCCGGCCGUUAAACCACCUUCGUAACCCAAGGUUGACCUCGGAUCAGGUAGGAUGACCCGCUGAACUUAAGC
rnacentral:misc_RNA from 1 species